rnacentral:rRNA from 1 species
AGAGUUUGAUCCUGGCUCAGAACGAACGCUGGCGGCGUGCUUAACACAUGCAAGUCGAACGAGAAAAUCCCUUCGGGGAUGAGUAGAGUGGCGCACGGGUGAGUAACGCGUGGGUAAUCUGCCCUAGGGUGGGGGAUAACGUCUGGAAACGGGCGCUAAUACCGCAUACACCGGAAACGGAAAAGGUGGGGAUCUUCGGACCUGCCGCCCUUGGAUGAGCCCGCGUAUCAUUAGGUAGUUGGUGGGGUAAUGGCCUACCAAGCCGAAGAUGAUUAGCUGGUCUGAGAGGAUGAUCAGCCACACUGGGACUGAGACACGGCCCAGACUCCUACGGGAGGCAGCAGUGGGGAAUAUUGCGCAAUGGAGGAAACUCUGACGCAGCAACGCCGCGUGUGUGAAGAAGGUUUUCGGAUCGUAAAGCACUGUUGAGUAGGAAGAGACGGGAUUGGUUAAUACCCAGUCCCCCGACGGUACUACUCGAGGAAGCACCGGCUAACUCCGUGCCAGCAGCCGCGGCAAUACGGAGGGUGCAAGCGUUGUUCGGAAUUAUUGGGCGUAAAGGGCGCGUAGGCGGGCCAUUAAGUCUGAUGUGAAAUCCCUCGGCUCAACCGAGGACGUGCAUUGGAAACUGAUGGUCUUGAGUCCUGGAGAGGAAGGCGGAAUUCCCAGUGUAGAGGUGAAAUUCGUAGAUAUUGGGAGGAACACCAGCGGCGAAGGCGGCCUUCUGGACAGUGACUGACGCUGAGGUGCGAAAGCGUGGGUAGCAAACAGGAUUAGAUACCCUGGUAGUCCACGCCGUAAACGAUGGGUACUAGUUGGGUGCGGGUGUUGACCCCUGCGCUGACAAAGCUAACGCAUUAAGUACCCCGCCUGGGGAGUACGGCCGCAAGGCUAAAACUCAAAGGAAUUGACGGGGGCCCGCACAAGCGGUGGAGCAUGUGGAUUAAUUCGAAGCAACGCGAAGAACCUUACCUAGCCUUGACAUCCUUGGAACUCUCCCGAAAAGGAGAGGUGCCCUUCGGGGAAUCAAGUGACAGGUGCUGCAUGGCUGUCGUCAGCUCGUGUCGUGAGAUGUUGGGUUAAGUCCCGCAACGAGCGCAACCCUUGUCUUUAGUUGCCAGCAUUUAGUUGGGCACUCUAGAGAGACUGCCGGUGUCAAGCCGGAGGAAGGUGGGGACGACGUCAAGUCAUCAUGGCCCUUACGGCUAGGGCUUCACACGUGCUACAAUGGACGGUACAAAGGGUCGCGAAGCCGCGAGGUGGAGCCAAUCCCAAAAAGCCGUUCUCAGUUCGGAUUGGAGUCUGCAACUCGACUCCAUGAAGUCGGAAUCGCUAGUAAUCGUGGAUCAGCAUGCCACGGUGAAUACGUUCCCGGGCCUUGUACACACCGCCCGUCACACCAUGGGAGUUGAUUGGACCAGAAGUCGUUAAGCCAACCUUCGGGAGGCAGACGCCCAAGGUCUGAUGAGCGACUGGGGUGAAGUCAUAACAAGGUAGCCGUA